rnacentral:rRNA from 1 species
UACGAAGGGGGCUAGCGUUGCUCGGAAUCACUGGGCGUAAAGCGCACGUAGGCGGAUUGUUAAGUCAGGGGUGAAAUCCUGGAGCUCAACUCCAGAACUGCCUUUGAUACUGAGGAUCUUGAGUAUGGGAGAGGUGAGUGGAACUGCGAGUGUAGAGGUGAAAUUCGUAGAUAUUCGCAAGAACACCAGUGGCGAAGGCGGCUCACUGGCCCAUUACUGACGCUGAGGCACGAAAGCGUGGGGAGCAAACAGG